rnacentral:misc_RNA from 1 species
GAUUGGCUUAAUAAAUAAUUAAGUGUUAUAAAAGUGGUAUAAAACGAAAGAUAUUGUAUGUGACUCGAUGUGAGGAUUGUGUCGAAUUGAAUCAUUUCUAUUAUAAUCCAGGCCUUGUCACCCAAUGAUUAUCAACAAUCCAAAAAUAAUUAAGAUAAAUUAUUCAUGUUUUUUUAAUUUUUAUUUAUAUAGUACCAACAACACUGAAACAUUUUUUUUUUUUUUCUUUUCGACGCUUGCGCAAGUGUAUUUAUUUUUGUCGUUGAGGGAUAGAUACAGAUCACCAGAAAAUCGGCUAUGAAAGAAUAUUCUUUAUUUCGUCAUAUAAUCAUACAAGAAAGUUGGAGCUGGUUAGAGCUGGUUAGAGCUGUAGACAUAUUCAUAUAUCAAACUGAACCAAACGUACGAUUACCCAUGACGUCUUUGUCUCAAACUCAGCUAGAUAAAACGGCUGUCGAAAAUUUUCGCGAGUAUCUGCAAAUUCCAUCGGUUCAACCAAACGUUAACUAUGAUGAAUGUGUUGCUUUCUUACAUAGACAAGCAAAGAGUUUGGAUUUGCCAAUUGCUGUUCAUGAGCCAUUUUCAAAUAAACCAAUUGUCGUCAUAACAUGGACAGGAACUGAUACAUCAGCAUCAUCAAUUUUAUUAAACAGUCACAUGGAUGUUGUUCCUGUAUUUGCAGACAAAUGGACGUAUCCACCAUUCAGUGCACAUAUUGAUGAUGCUGGUAAUAUUUAUGCUCGUGGUUCACAAGACAUGAAAUGCGUUGGUAUACAAUAUUUAGAAGCAGUAAGAAGAUUAAAAUUAAAUGGAAUAAAAUUAAAACGUACAUUACAUAUGUCAUUUGUGCCUGAUGAAGAAAUUGGUGGUAUAUUGGGAAUGCGUGCAUUUAUACAUAGUAAAGAUUUUAAAAAUUUAAAUGUUGGAUUUGCACUUGAUGAGGGUGUUGCAUCACCAACUGAUAAAUUUUACAUGUUCAAUGGUGAAAGAUCAGUUUGGCAAGUAUGGAUACACUGUAAUGGGCCACCUGGACAUGGCUCAAUGCUCAUACCCAAUACUGCUGGUGAAAAAUUACGUUUUAUCAUUGAUUGUUUUAUGGAUCUACGAGCAGAAUCAAGUGCCAAACUUGCUACUGGAAAACAUAAAAUCGGAGAUUUAUUAUCAAUUAAUCUGAAUCAAAUUAAGGGUGGUGUACAACUAAAUGUUAUUCCUGAUGAAUUAAAGGUUGCAUUUGAUAUAAGAAUACCUCCGACAACUGAUCAUGAUGAAUUGGAAAAAUUAUUUCGUAGGUGGUGCAAAGAAGCCGGUGAUGAUAUAACAAUUGAAUUUGAACAAAAAAGUCCAAAAAUUGAAUCAACAAAAUUGGAUGACAGUAAUCCAUAUUGGAUUGCUUUCAAAAAAACAACAGACAAAUUGGGCAUUGAAUUGGAUAUUGGAAUAUUUACUGGUGCUACUGACAGUCGAUACGUGCGUUCGUAUUUACCCAUAAAGCAGGAUGACUGCAAAGAGGAUACUUUUUGAGAAGGACCAACAAGUCUCUGUAGAUGAUGUUGAGGAGAAAAUAGAUCUCAUCAACUCUCUUGAUAAUGAUUCAUUAGCACAAAUAUUCAUGCUGCUGCCAAUAUCUGAGAGGAUAACUAUGGAUCAAGUUUGUUCCAAAUGGAAAGAGGCCUGUCAACUAGCUUGAACUACUGAAUCACCAAAUAGGUUGGGUAUAGACCCAGAACAAUGGCUUAUGGGUUAUUCUCCAACUUAUUAUGUAUCACCAUCACUUUUUUCUUUGAGAGAAUUUACCAAUCUUCAAAGUUUGACGAUACGUUCUUACAACAUCACCGGCAUUAUUCAAGAAAUAUCAAAAAAAAACAACACUUGUUUAUCUCGAUCUCCAAAACUGUCAAGCUGAAAAUGAGAUUUUUACAUUUAAUCAACUUUCAAACCUGGAACAUCUCGACAUUAAAGAUACGUUGUUCUGGAAUAGUCAAUUGCGAGAUA